rnacentral:rRNA from 1 species
GACGAACCGUCCUAACGUUGUUCGGAAUCACUGGGCUUAAAGGGCGCGUAGGCGGGUCAGCAAGUCCGGGGUGAAAUCUUUCGGCUCAACCGGAAAAGUGCCUUGGAUACUGCUGGUCUUGAGGGAGGUAGGGGUCUGUGGAACUUCUGGUGGAGCGGUGAAAUGCGUUGAUAUCAGAAGGAACGCCGGUGGCGAAAGCGACGGACUGGACCUCUUCUGACGCUGAGGCGCGAAAGCCAGGGGAGCAAACGGG